UACGUAGGGGGCAAGCGUUGUCCGGAAUUACUGGGCGUAAAGAGCUCGUAGGUGGUUUGUCGCGUUGUUCGUGAAAACUCACAGCUCAACUGUGGGCGUGCGGGCGAUACGGGCAGACUUGAGUACUGCAGGGGAGACUGGAAUUCCUGGUGUAGCGGUGGAAUGCGCAGAUAUCAGGAGGAACACCGGUGGCGAAGGCGGGUCUCGUGGGCAGUAACUGACGCUGAGGAGCGAAAGCGUGGGGAGCGAACAG
rnacentral:rRNA from 1 species